rnacentral:rRNA from 1 species
UAACCAUAUAAUUACUCGAAACAAAUUAUUCGCCAGAGUACUACCGGCAACAGCCCGAAACUCAAAGGACUUGGCGGUGCUUUAUACCCUUCUAGAGGAGCCUGUUCUAUAAUCGAUAAACCCCGAUAAACCUCACCAAUCCUUGCUAAUACAGUCUAUAUACCGCCAUCUUCAGCAAACCCUAAAAAGGAACAAAAGUAAGCUCAAUAUCAACACAGAUAGAUGAGGUUUCAAAAUGUAUAACAUGGAGUGGGAAGAAAAAGGGGGAAGAUUAUAAAUCUUAAGAAAAUUAAUACCAAGAACAGGAUUAAGAAAAUGACCAAAGGAGGAUUUAGUAGUAA